CCAAUAGCGUAUAUUAAAGUUGUUGCAGUUAAAAAGCUCGUAGUUGAAUUUUAGACCUGGCCAGGCGGUCCGUCUUUGGCGAGUACUGUUCUGUGUUGGGCCUUUCCUUCUGGUUAACCGGCGUGCUCUUUAUUGAGUGCGCCGUGCGAGCCAGGACCAUUACCUUGAAAAAAUUAGAGUGUUUAAAGCGGGCAUUUGCUUGAAUAGAUUAGCAUGGAAUAAUAGAAUAGGACGUUGGUUCUAUUUUGUUGGUCUAGGACCACCGUAAUGAUUAAUAGGGAUAGUUGGGGGCAUUAGUAUUCAAUUGUCAGAGGUGAAAUUCUUGGAUUUAUUGAAGACUAACUAUUGCGAAAGCAUUUGCCAAGGAUGUUUUCAUUAAUCAAGAACGAAAGUUAGGGGAUCGAAGACGAUCAGAUACCGUCGUAGUCUUAACCAUAAACUAUGCCGACUAGGAAUCGGGCGACGUUAUUUUCAUGACUCGCUCGGCGCCUUAUG
rnacentral:rRNA from 1 species